rnacentral:rRNA from 1 species
AGCAGCCGCGGUAAUACGGAGGAUCCGAGCGUUAUCCGGAUUUAUUGGGUUUAAAGGGAGCGUAGGCGGUUGUUAAGUCAGUUGUGAAAGUUUGCGGCUCAACUGGGAAACUGCCUUUGAUACUGUCAGUCUAGAGUAUAGUUGAAGUUGGCGGAAUGUGUCAUGUAGCGGUGAAAUGCUUAGAUAUGACACAGAACACCGAUCGCGAAGGCAGCCUGCUGGACUGUAACUGACGCUGAUGCUCGAAAGCGUGGGGAUCAAACAGGAUUAGAUACCCUGGUAGUCCACGCUGUAAACGAUGAUUACUCGAUGUUGGCGAUACACAGUCAGCGUCUGAGCGAAAGCAAUAAGUAAUCCACCUGGGGAGUACGAUCGCAAGAUUGAAACUCAAAGGAAUUGACGGGGGCCCGCACAAGCGGAGGAGCAUGUGGUUUAAUUCGAUGAUACGCGAGGAACCUUACCUGGGCUUGAAUUGCAAAUGAACGGCGGAGACAUGCCGGCCUUCGCAAGGCAUUUGUGAACAGGUGCUGCAUGGUUGUCGUCAGCUCGUGCCGUGAGGUGUCGGGUUAAGUCCCAUAACGAGCGCAACCCCUACCUUUAGUUGCCAUCAGGUCAUGCUGGGGACUCCAAAGGAACUGCCUACGCAAGUAGUGAGGAAGGCGGGGAUGACGUCAAAUCAGCACGGCCCUUACGUCCAGGGCUACACACGUGCUACAAUGGCCGGUACAGAAGGCAGCUACACGGCGACGUGAGGCUAAUCCUAAAUACCUCUCUCAGUUCGGAUUGGAGUCUGCAACCCGACUCCGUGAAGUUGGAUUCGCUAGUAAUCGCGCAUCAGCCAUGGCGCGGUGAAUACGUUCCCGGGCCUUGUACACACCGCCCGUCAAGCCAUGGAAGCUGGGGGGACCUAAAGUCGAUAACCGCAAGGAGUCGCCUAGGGUAAAACCAGUGACUGGGGCUAAGUCGUAACAAGGUAACC